rnacentral:tRNA from 1 species
GGGAUUGUAGCUCAGUGGUGGAGUGCUUGCCUUGCAUGUGUGGGACACUGAGUUAGAUUCUCAGCAUCACA